rnacentral:rRNA from 1 species
AGAGGGAAACAACCCAGACCGCCAGCUAAGGUCCCAAAGUCAUGGUUAAGUGGGAAACGAAGUGGGAAGGCUCAGACAGCCAGGAUGUUGGCUUAGAAGCAGCCAUCAUUUAAAGAAAGCGUAAUAGCUCACUGGUCGAGUCGGCCCGCGCGGAAGAUGUAACGGGGCUAAACCAUGCACCGAAGCUGCGGCAGCGACACGUAGUGUUGUUGGGUAGGGGAGCGUUCUGUAAGCCUGCGAAGGUGUACUGUGAGGUAUGCUGGAGGUAUCAGAAGUGCGAAUGCUGACAUAAGUAACGAUAAUGCGGGUGAAAAACCCGCACGCCGGAAGACCAAGGGUUCCUGUCCAACGUUAAUCGGGGCAGGGUGAGUCGACCCCUAAGGCGAGGCUGAAAAGCGUAGUCGAUGGGAAACGGGUUAAUAUUCCCGUACUGGUGGUAACUGCGAUGGGGGAACGGAGAAGGCUAGGUUGUCCGGGCGACGGUCGUCCCGGUUCAAGCAGGUAGGCAGAGUGAUUAGGCAAAUCCGGUCACUUAAUGCUGAGAUGUGAUGACGAACCACCAAGGUGGUGAAGCAAUUGAUGCCCCGCUUCCAGGAAAAGCCUCUAAGCUUCAGGUUACCAACAAUCGUACCC